GUGCUCGCUUUGGCAGCACAUAUACUAAAAUUGGAACUAUACAGAGAAGAUUAGCAUGGCCCCUGCACAAGGAUGGCAUGCGAAUUCAUGAAGCAUUCCAUACUUUU